UUGGUUAGGUGCCAAAACUACUUGGUUAGGUUUUGGCACAACAACUACUUGGCUAGAUUUAGUCACUACAACUACUUGGUUAGGUUUAGGCACUAACACUACUUGGUUAGGUUUAGGCACAAACACUACUUGGUUAGGUUCAGGUACAAACACUACAUGGUUAGGUUUAGGCACAAAGACUACUUGGUUAGGUUUAGGCACAAAAAUGUCUUGGUUAGGUUUUGACACAACAGCUACUUGGCUAGAUUUAGUCACUACAAGUACUUGGUUAGGUUCAGGCACAAAAAAUAACUUUGUUAGGUUUAGGCACAAAAACUUCUUGGUUAGGUGCCAAAAUUACUUGGUUGGUUUCGGCUCAAAAACUACUUGGUUAGGCUUAGGCACAAAAACUAUCAGAUAUUAUGUCAGGGGUUGUGUUGUGUAGUGAAAUGGGCGUGUCGUGUAGCCUGUGAGACUGCAGAAAGCUCCUUCUCAAAGGGUGGAUCUCCAUUUCUCAUGCAUCCACGUUGGAAAGCCGUGUCAUGUCUUGCCACAAAAAUCUGAUCUCUUGCAAAUAAGAGUGUGGACAGUCCGUCUUAAAGAUCUGAUUUGAGAAACAAUACUGAUUUGCCUGCAGUCUGAACAUAGUGUGUAAUUACUGAUUCAUAGCUGAUUUUAAAUAUAAAUAAUGUUUUUAUUGUUCACCGGCAGCAGGAGUCAUAAUGCGAGACUGACAUUGGUUGUGCCUCAUUUUUUACGUUUUGUUUAUUCUAUGCAUCCAGUCUACUUUUGCCAGACACGUAUGCAUAAUGGAAGCUUGGAAUAAACCUUUCUGAGUGCUUCUUAGUGUCUCUGAAAUGGUGUUGUAGUAUUAGUAUUGUUAGCCAGAGAUCUCUUCUACAGUUAAAAAAAACAAAAAUGUGGUACAAAAAGAAAGCUAGAGUAUGCAGCCUGAGAAUGAUGUGGUUUAUUUCCCAGUUCUGCGUUGUUGCCAUCGCACUUACCGCAUGUGCUAAUGGCAUUUUCAGUGGACAUUCACCUUGAGGGUCACUGUGAGGUUGGCUGGAGCAAAUCCCUAAAUCCACCACAAAAAUAAAAAUGCACUAAAAUGACUCGGCAGUGAAGACUCUGAGGUCAUACUUGGACAGCUUUAAAGUUGCUGGUCAUUUGGAAUUGGCAGGAAGUGGCUCGUUGUGAAAUAUGUGUCAUAUUGCUUAGUCAGUCUUUUAUGUUGAAAGAAAGUCUCUCAUCCUCUCAAUCCAUCCUCUUAAAUCAUCCUGUUAAGUCAUAUUGCAACAUAACUCUCAUGAUCAUGUUGCUUCUCUUGCACUACAUCAUCCUUUAUCCUUGAGAAAAAUGUAACACAGCCAAGGUCAAUGUGUUCAUAUUGAUUUUGUUAUUUAUUACUGCACCAAAAGAUGGGACGAAGGGUGUUGCACAUUGUGUAGAAAUAGAAUAACAGAAGUGAAUCUAGAUUUUAGACUUUUGGUCUAUCUUCUUAAUGUAAUAAAAAAUAUUAGAAGGAAACGGAUAAUAAUAAAUGAGCCCAAAAAUUGGGACAACCUUUCACUAUAAUUAUAUGCUUAUUGAUUGCUUAAAAUGUUGGCCAUAGUUGUACAUACUUCCAGUACUUUUUUACUGCAUUGUUGCUGUACUGCACAUAUUUUGCUCCAUUCCCAAGAGGAAUUUCUUGAGAAAAUUUAGAUUUGCCUCCCUUCUCUGCUAUUUGAAGUUAAUAAGAAUGACCUAGUAGCUGGUUAGCUGUAAUUGGUGUAGAAUAGAAUUGAACUGAAGUUCAUCAUUGGAUACUACAGUAUGCAUUAUUAGGAUAAGGUAUUGAUGGGCCAUCAUUGUCAUAAAUUGUUGUUUUAUUUUCCUACAGUACAUAUCUCUGUAUCGUC